rnacentral:rRNA from 1 species
UACGUAGGGUGCGAGCGUUAAUCGGAAUUACUGGGCGUAAAGCGUGCGCAGGCGGGCUUUUAAGCCAGACGUGAAAUCCCCGGGCUUAACCUGGGAAUGGCGUUUGGGACUGGAAGUCUGGAGUGUGGCAGAGGAGACUGGAAUUCCUGGUGUAGCAGUGAAAUGCGUAGAUAUCAGGAGGAAUACCGAUGGCGAAGGCAGGUCUCUGGGCUGACACUGACGCUCAUGCACGAAAGCGUGGGGAGCAAACACG